rnacentral:lncRNA from 1 species
CUGCAGAAAAAGGGCAACUCAUGAAUUCAGCAAUUCUUUUGACACAGGAGAAAUGAUCAUUCAUCAGAUCUUCAUAUUUCAUAAAGAGUAUUUUCUCUGGAAAUUCAAGACUUGCUUUCCAGUACCCUAAAAUAUGAUCCCACCAAGGUCCACAAGAAUUUAUUCCUUUGCAAAAAUACUGAUAUGCUGUCUCCAAUGGAAUGGCUUCCUUGCGUAACUUACAUAUAAACUGCCAAUACGAAAUAAGCAAAUCCUUGGGAUCUCUGGAGAGGUAAAUAAUUUUACAAUUGAACUCUACAAUAUACUUGGGCAAAAGAGUGUAGGGAAUGUGUGUGGCAAAAAAUGGAAGUUCAGAUUCUCUGUUAACUGAAACUUCAAUCCAAGGAAUAAAAUCAUGUGGGGACUUAGUUAACAAUGGAUGUGAGGAGAAAUCAUUGAAUCGUGUUCUUGUGAAAGUAGCAAAACACAAGGCUUUAAGCCAAGUGGUGCCAGAUUUUGGAUGAGUGCAAAUGAAAAUAUCAGUAGGUUGGGGUGUGAAGUGUUCAUGCAGUGACAUUAUGCUUUCUAGCGUAGUUGUACGAAACCAAAAGCCUUGAUACUUAUGGAUGUAUUGAUCGAGUGGUGAUGCAAAGACAUUUGGUUGACGAGGAAGAGUUGAAAUUAUCUCUCUAUAUUUUGUAGGGUUUAUUGGAGACUCGUUGGUGUUCAUGGAAGCAGACAAAAUAGCCUCAAAGACCAUUCACUUGAAGAGCUGUAAAGGUCUAUUUAUAGAGAAAAAAGUUUUAGCACACAUUCGGCAACCGGUGAUAUUAAUUUCCCAAUUCUGCAUAUUGGGCCACCAUGUGAACAAGAUGACAAAUGCAUGAAUGGGUGAUCUGCUUUGGAAGAUUUUUUUAUUCGAAUGAGGUAAAAGAUUAAUACAAUUAAUGAAUUAUACAAUUAAGAGAUAAUUUUCUGCUUUCUCCUCAUGAAGAUAAAUAUCUCAAAGGAAUAAUUACCUUGUACGACUUAAUUAAUUAAAAUAUUUAUAUAAUUUUAAUUUUUUAUUAUAUUUUUAAUAAUAAAAAUAAAUAAAAAAAUAUUUUAUUAAAAAAAAUAUAAAAACGGUUAAUUUAUGAAUAAUAAUAAUAUUUAAAAACUAAAUUAUAAAUUCUCCUAAAUAAAUUUGACACGAGUGGGGCACCAAAUUCAGUGAGAAGAAGAUUGAUGUGAAGUAAUUGACAUGAUAUGACAUAGCAUCAGAUAACAUCACAUGACAUGGCAUGGAGUACCCCAUGUGAAAGGUGUCUGAUGUUAUCAGCUAAAAAACAGAACAAAUAAUUUAUAUUUGUCGACUCUUCAUUAUGCUGAUUUUUUUUAAAAAAUAAGUUAGUUUACAAUUUAGCCAAAUUUUUAAUUUUUUAGAGCUGUAAAUAUAAGAGAAAUUAUAAUUAUUUUUUCAGGAAAAUGUACUUAUUCUUAGGGGAUGAUCAUUCGGUUGGUUCGGUUCAAAAUCAUACCGAACUGAAUAAACCGAAAACUGAAAUUUUGGUGCUUAUGAAAAUCGAACCGAAUCAAUUUUGGUCAGAAACCGAAUCGAACCGAACCGGUCUGAUUCGGUUCGAUUCGAUUCGGUUUGAUUAGUUUCAAUUUUUAAUAAUUUUUUUAAUUUUUUACACUUUAUUUUUAAUAUUUUAAAAUUUAAUUAAAAUAUUUUAAUUUUAAUAUGAUUUAAUUUCUCAAUAUUAUUGAAAAAAUAUAUUAUUAUCACUAAUCGGUUCGAUUUAGUUUUUUCGGUUUUUUCUGAUUAAAACCGAACCGAACCAAAAUAACCUAAAUUUCUGAAAUUAAAAACCAAACCGAACCGAAAUGUAUAAAAAACCGAAUCAAAUUUUUAAAUCAAUUUGAUUCGGUCGAUUUUUUUUAUUUGAACCGAAUAUUGCUCCCCUACUUAUUCUCUAUAACAACUGAAAUAAGUUAGUAAUGAAAUGGAUUCAAUCUUUUGUAUUAAAAACAUUUUUAAGAAAGUAUUUUCAGAUUUUUUAAUAUUUACAAUAUUCAAAAAAAUGUCAAUAAUAUUUAUUUAAUAGUUUAAUUCAGACACAUUAUUUGUUAUUAUUUUUUUCAUAAAAAAUAUUUUUUAAAUAUAAAUUAUUUUCUGCUAAAAAUAAUUUUAUGGAGGUUUGCACCUUUAUAAAAUAAUAUACCCAUUCAAUUUUAUCCACUAAUUUUUAAAAGUUUUUUUUUUCGUCUAAAAUCAUCAGUUUAAGAAUACUAAUAUUUUUCAAUUUUAUCCUUAUUUUUAUUGAACCUAAUAAUUAUUUCUAUAAUUUCCUAAAACACCUUUUAUAAUUUUCCUUUCUCUCUUAAGCAACCCACUUUUGUAAUAAUAAAUUAAUGAAAAAAAUAUUAAAAUUGAAGAAAUUAAGUGAAAAAUAAAUAAUAAUUUAGUUAAAUUAAGGAGUAUUUUAUGAGAAAAUAUAUUGAAAUUGAUAAAAAAAGAAUAGUCAACACUGAAAUAUUAUUAUUGAUGAUCGUCGGGUCUCAUUAUCAUUGGACAAGGCCAGACUCAAGAGAACAGCGCCGGUCCAAAGUUCAUGAAACUUUUUUUGUCAAUCGGUCUAGCCUUUUUACAGUCUGGUGAUGUGACAUGAAGGAAGAUAGCAAAUCCAAUUAAUUCGCAAGCUUGGUGAUGUGACAUGAAGGAAGACAGCAAAUCCAAUUACUUCGCAGUCCUACCCGCACACGCGCCGAAAAUUAAACCUGAAUGACAGAAAUAAAUUGCACUGUAGUAUAGAAGCCGUUAGGCUUACCAGCAGACAAAUGAAAAUGAAUAAAAAAAGAGAAACUUUUUUCUCUCUAUUGAAACUCACACAAAACUACUGUAAAUAUUAUUUUUUUAAAUUUCAGAAUAUCAAUUAUCAAUAAACUAAGAUAAGCUUUCAUUAAGAUCACUACAACAUAUGCUUAGGUUGAUCAUUCUAACAUUAUUCAAAUCUUUAUGCAAACUAAGACAAGUACUUGCCUUCAUUAAGAUUUGCCUUCACUGAGACACUGCAAAUCUUGGGCUCGAAAAGAUAAUCCAGAACCACUGAACUUUUGCUCAGUUAUUUGGUCAAGGUGAGCUCCCAUUUCAGCUGUCAAAUAGUUCUUCCAAUCACCAACUUUACCUUUCCUAAAGAAUGAAUUGUUUUCAAUUUUGAGAGCUCCUGUUGCAGAGUUCUCUAAGCUAUUUCUGUUCACUUCCAAAUUGCUUAGAGUCUCAAAGCUGCACAAGUUGACGAUUUUUUGCACUAACCCUUGUCUCUCUUCUUCUGCAGAAAAAGGGCAACUCAUGAAUUCAGCAAUUCUUUUGACAUAGGAGAAAGGAUCAUUCAUCAUAUCUUCAUAUUUCAUAAAGAGUAUUUUCUCUGGAAAUUCAAGACUUGCUUUCCAGGAGCUUUUUUUCAAAUUAUACCUAAAUAAAAUUUAUUUUUUCAAAUCAUGCAUUUUCGGAUCUGUGUGUCAAACCUGAGUGUUCGGCAGUCAUACUACCGAACACUCUUGUUCGCGCGGAGCCAUUGUUCGACACUAAUGGUGUCGAACAACGGCUUCUCCUGCCACGGGAGCAGUUUUAUGCUCCCGUGGCGCACUAGGCGUGUUCGGCACCAUUGGUGUCGAACACGCCUGACAUGUUCCUCCCAUUCAUGCCCCCUUCUGUAGGGCUACUUACUUGCAUAUUCAUUUUUUUUUUUUAUUUUAUUUCAUCUCUCAUUACUCUCUCAAAAUCGUUCCCUCCAAAUACGUCGGAGACUGGCGAGGCACUUGAGCUCCAAACAAACAUGUGGAGCUCCUUAGCGUCAUGGUUUGCUUUGGAAUUCUGUUGCUGAGGCUGCUGCUGUUGCUCCUGUUGCUGCUGCUGAAGAUUCUUGGUGUUUUUUGUGGAAACCGUUGAAGAAAAUUCCGGAUUUGGUGCUGGAUAAGAUGUUGGCACCGUUUGCGCCGGAUAAAACCCGAAUCUUGGAGAAGAAUUUGUAGCCAUUGGAGCACAGUUUUCUUCAAAGUUUGAGGGCCGAGGUGUUGGACCUCUUGAAGAUUGUACAGAGUACAAGUCCGCCGGACCAAAAUUUGAGAGUUUUCCACCGGGGAAUCCCUGCACACCCAUCAUAUUAUAGAAGUCGGAAGUGUUAAAAUUAGAUCCUCUUGGGGUUGGAUUUCUUGAUGAACUCAAGCUAUAAAUCUCAGCUCCAGUAAGAUUCGAGGGACGAGGAGUCAAUCCAGAGAAAGAACCAGGCCCCAAAGAUCGCCGCGAAGCAUUGGAUUUCCUCACCGUCACAUGCAGCUUCCCAUCAUCACCAAUCUCAGCAUCUGUUUCCAAGAAAUCUCUACCGUCUAAAGGCUCCCGUACCGCGCUGUGCAGCGCCACGCGGGGCGCAAAAAGAAGAGUUCGGCACGAACUCUUCUUUUUGCGUGACUGCAGAUCCGUCAGGCGUGGAGUGCAGAACACGCCUCCUGUGCCACGGGAGCAGUUGGUGUUCGACACCAUUGAUGUCGAACACCAGUGUCCGCGUGGCAGUUCGACACCAAUGGUGUCGAACAACGGCUCCGCACGGUGUCGAACUUCACUCUGUUUGGUGUCGAACAAGAGUGUUCGGCAGUACACUCAGGUUUGACACACAGGAUCCGAAAAUAUUUUCGGAUCCUGCAUGAUUUGAAAAAAUAAAUUUUAUUUAUGUAUGAUUUGAAAAAAAGCUCGCUUUCCAGUACCCUAAAAUAUGAUCCCACCAAGGUCCACAAGAAUUUAUUCCUUUGCAAAAAUACUGAUAUGCUGUCUCUAAUGGAAUGGCUUCCUUGCGUAACUUACACAUAAACUGCCAAUACGAAAUAAACAAAUCCUUGGGAUCUCUGGAGAGGUAAAUGAUUUUACACUUCAACUCUACAAUAUACUUGGGCAAAAG